rnacentral:rRNA from 1 species
ACGGAAGGCAGCAGUGAGGAAUAUUGGUCAAUGGGCGGAAGCCUGAACCAGCCAUCUCGCGUGCAGGACUACGGCCCUACGGGUCUUAAACUGCUUUUAUGGGGGGAUAAAGUCGGGCAUGCGUGUCCGUUUGCAGGUACCCCAUGAAUAAGGAUCGGCUAACUCCGUGCCAGCAGCCGCGGUAAUACGGAGGAUCCGAGCGUUAUCCGGAUUUAUUGGGUUUAAAGGGUGCGCAGGCGGCCCGUUAAGUCAGCGGUGAAAUGUCGGGGCUCAACCCGGGCACUGCCGUUGAAACUGGGGGGCUUGAGUACGGAUGAGGUCGGCGGAAUGUGACGUGUAGCGGUGAAAUGCAUAGAUAUGUCACAGAACACCGAUUGCGAAGGCAGCGGGCCAAUCCGCAACUGACGCUCAUGCACGAAAGCGUGGGGAUCGAACAGGAUUAGAUACCCUGGUA